ACAAAAUAGCUAUUGAGUGAGACAGGGAGCAAAAGCUUUCUGAAGCGAUGUUGCCAACAUGAUUCAAAACAACUAUGAAGGGACCAUCUAUAAAGCCUGGAGCAGGCAGAUGUUCAGCCUCUCCCAGGAAAGGAGGGCUCAUCAUGCAUAAUGGUUUCUGGAGAAGUCAAACUUCAUCACUCCAAACAUCCUGCCUUCCUCCUUCUUUCCCCCAGCUUUUAUUGCCGAGCACAACACUACAUGGUGUGGGACACCCUCUUGGAAACGUGUAAUUUUAAGAUCACAUGACAAACUUGGAGCACUCAGUCAGCUGACCUGAAGGUGAAGCAUGGG
ensembl:lncRNA